GGCGUGAAUCUUCCGCAAUGGACGAAAGUCUGACGGAGCAACGCCGCGUGAGUGAUGAAGGCUUUCGGGUCGUAAAACUCUGUUGUUAGGGAAGAACAAGUGCUAGUUGAAUAAGCUGGCACCUUGACGGUACCUAACCAGAAAGCCACGGCUAACUACGUGCCAGCAGCCGCGGUAAUUA
rnacentral:rRNA from 1 species